GCAAAACCUUAGCGAGUUUAAGGAACUGAAAGAAAGUUUAUGAGGUCCAGCCCCACUGGAGCUGCGGACCAGAUGGCAAGGGCAAGUCAUGGAACUUGUCUGGAUGCUGGCAAUGGUGAUGGGAGCCAGGGAGGGUGCUCAGCAGGAGAGUGGCAGGACCUGGUUUGUGAGAGGAUGGUUCUGCCGCGGGAUGGAGCGGGCAUGGAGGGAGCCCAGAAAGCUCAUUGUAGGGAGAUGGUGCAGUGAGAAGGAGCUAGUGGGAGGUUCUGAAGUGAACUGACUAGGGGUGAAUUGGGCAUGGUUAUGUUGUAUAUUACUCCAUUCUCAUACUUACA
rnacentral:lncRNA from 1 species